UAAAAAGCGUAACAAGGUUUCCGUAGGUGAACCUGCGGAAGGAUCAUUAUCGAGUUUUAUUUGAACGGGUUGUAGCUGGCCUUUUAAUCGAGGCAUGUGCACGCUCGGCUCAAUUCCACUCUUAACCACUGUGCACUUUUUGUAAGAUCGGUUGAAGGACUUUGUGUAAUAAUGAAGUUCGGAAGCCUUUCUUAUGUUUACUACAAACGCUUCAGUUAUAGAAUGUCUAAUUGUGUAUAACACAUUUAUAUACAACUUUCAGCAACGGAUCUCUUGGCUCUCGCAUCGAUGAAGAACGCAGCGAAAUGCGAUAAGUAAUGUGAAUUGCAGAAUUCAGUGAAUCAUCGAAUCUUUGAACGCACCUUGCGCUCCUUGGUAUUCCGAGGAGCAUGCCUGUUUGAGUGUCAUGGAAUUCUCAACCCUUAGGAUUUAUUUUCUAAUGGGCUUGGACUUGGAGGCUUGUGUCGGCUGCUUUGUUCAGUCGACUCCUCUUAAAUGCAUUAGCGUGAAUUCUUACGGAUCGCCUUCAGUGUGAUAAUUAUCUGCGCUGUGGUGUUGAAGUAUUUUUUUAUAUAUUCGUGCUUAUAAUCGUCUCCUUACCGAGACAAUUAUCAUUAUGACAUCUGACCUCAAAUCAGGUAGGACUACCCGCUGAACUUAAGCAUAUAAAA
rnacentral:rRNA from 1 species